GCCAGUGUGGCAUAGCGGUUUGAGAAUUGGACUGCAACUCUGGAGGCCAGGGUUUGAUUCCCUGCUCUGCCG